ensembl:lncRNA
GAGCAACAGCCCCACUGUUAUCUGAUCCCCUGUUUUGGAGCCACUGUCGCAGCCAACAUAUCAUGGCAGCUUUAAGACUUAUAUGGCUUGGCAUUUUAUCAAAAUACAUCCUUGUUGAAUGUCAAAACAAAUGCGAAGAUACAGGUAAAGUAUACAUUUUAAUGUUAAUGAAAAAACAUGGAAUGAUGAAUAGAUUACGUUUUUGGUAAGCAUGGCAAGAAUUAUUACCUUAGUUCAACACUUGCAAAAUAUAAAUAUAAGUUUACUGCAUUGUGAAUGCAAUUUGUUUUUUAAAGGUAACUUUGUCGAGAUCCCUUAUUGAAAGCUUGUCUACGCAGGGUCUGAGUCACGUCUCAGAAAAAGAAGUUGUGUAUCCAUUUACAAAACCUUUCAAAAGUAUUCACACCCAUUUGACAUAUUAUUGUGUUUCAACGUGAUAUAAAAAUUAAUUAUAUUAGGAGUUAUUGCCACUGAUCAACACAAAAAGUCCAUUAUCUCAAAUUGAAAAAUAAAACCUGUAAAUUGUGAAUCCUUUUGAAAGGCACUGUAACAGCCUUUAAACAGUACAUCAAUGUUGUAUGGUCAUAUAAAGUGUACUUUUAUAGCUAUGUAUGUGAAAAAACAACCUAUUAAGCUUGGUAUCAAUAUUAGGCUAUGACACUGUGUACAAUGCACUUAUAAAACAAAAAUGGUAUUCUUAAUAAUUAGCAUACUAAUCCUUAAGGCUUUAUACUUCAUUCAAUUAAAACUUAAUGGUGGCCUCUUACUGAGUCAUUUGUUAUAUUUAGAGAUGUACCCUGCAAAGCCCUCUGGACCAUCUAAUGUGACUGAAGGGACCACAAUACAUUUCAAGUGUCAAACUAAUAGCAUCACUAUAAGCGGGGACAUGGUUCAUUUUUACCUUUGCAAGGAUGGAGUUGGGAUACAAAUGGCACCAAUGAAGAAAGGUGCUGAAUCUAUUUUCUUGUUAAAAGAAGUAAAAAAACAAGACUCGGGCAAGUACAGCUGUGUGUACAGCAAAUGUAAACACCCAGUCAGUCAAGUGAAGUCAACAGGGGAUUAUCUGGUCUUAUGGGUCAACAGAGACGAAGAUGUGGAAGGUGGACAAAAGACAAAAGACGUUUUCUUUGUCCCCAUAUUAUUGUCAGUGUCAAUUCUGCUUUUAGUUUUACUCUGGAGUUGCUUGGGCAUCGUGAAACAAAAGAUAUGUAGUGACCAUAGACCAAGUGAGAUUCAGGAUAUGGGUCAAACCUACAGUGGAAUCUCUUCUGUACCAGUUGAUGUCACUAGUGAGAUCCCUCUUGAUGUUGAAGAAGCAGCCUAUUCUGUGAUAGAUAAUUGGAGAGGAUUGAGACCAUCACUUACACAAAGUCAUGGGAUCGGAUGUGCAUCACUCUCAAAAAGAUCCUACAGGAGAGGAGGCAAAAUGCAGUUCACUACAAACUACAGCGAUAAGACCAGAAACACAAGUUGAAAAUGCCACCUAUGCCCAAGUGAUCAAAACCAAGAAGAAAGGAAAUGAGCCUGUGUACAGUCUUCUGAUGAAAAAAUAGAGGACAUUGUGCUACUGUCAACUUUGUCAUUCCAGUUUAUAAAAUAGUAUUCAGUGUGCCUUGAAAGGAUGUAAACACCUUGUGCAAUUAUAGCUCUUUAGUUUUCAACCGUGAAAUGUUUAAUUGAUGAGAACCUUUUUUCAUCUGACAAAACAGCUUUAUAGUUACCUAUUGCAUUUGUUGGUUUAUAGGAAAUCAUGCAUUUAGUAGAUAAAUAAAAUACAAAAUUAAUUAAUGUAGAUGCAAAAAUAAAUAUAGCUCAAUCUGAAGUGGUUAAAUCCAGUAGGUAAGUAGAAUCAGGUCUGUAAUUAAUUGGGUAACAAAUGAACCCAUCGAAGUAGGGAUCUGUAGGAAAGAGUUUAAGUGGGACAUGCAACCUGGUCAGUUUGGUGUUACCCAUACAGGUAAAUGCAAAAAAACACCAUGCCAAAGUAAAGGAGUUCUCUGCGAACAUCAAGAAGAGGGUAAUGUGAGCAAAUCAGUCUGAGGAAAGCUAUACAACCAUCUAAAAAGGUAUGCUCCAGUAGUCCACUGUGAAGCAAUCAUUUACAGAUGGAAAGCAAUUAACAUCACCGCAACUCAGCUUAGAAGUGGAUGUCCUUCCAAAAUAUCCCCUAGAGCCCCUGGUCAACUGCACGUCAUCAACUUUAUAAUGAAUUCUGAGGUUUCCCAGGAGUUUCUUGAACAGAAUGUAAGGCCAUCAGUCAAUAAUGGAUGGCCUUACAAGACAAUGACGAAACUAUUUGUGUUUUGGAUUGGCCAAACCAUAGUUCUAACCGUAAUCCAAUUCCAAUGGUUUGGCAGGAUUUGAAGCGUGCAGUAAAUGCCAGACAACCCUCAAACCUCACCCAAUUGGUGGAGAUCCAUAAAGAGGAGUGACCAAAAAUCUUUACCAGAGACAUUAAAUCAAAGUUAUCACUGCUAAUUGAGGUGACAAAAGCUAUUAAAUUAAGGGGUUUCACAUAUUUUUGUACACAUUAAAUCACUUUUGUAAAAUGAACAAUGAACAUAUAUGCUUUUGUUUGUGUCCUUUAUUUGUCUUUAUUACAAAUUAGGGUUUCACAAAGGUUUUUGGGAGUUUAUUUUAAUAUGUUAUACCAAAAUAAUGACCAUAUUGUAAAUAAAUGUUACCAUUGCAUUUUACCGUUAUUUACUUUACAUUUGACAUAUAUUUUUCAGAAUGACAGU